UACAGAGGUCUCAAGCGUUGUUCGGAUUCAUUGGGCGUAAAGGGUGUGUAGGUGGCGCCGUAAGUCGGGUGUGAAAUUUCGGAGCUUAACUCCGAAACUGCAUUCGAUACUGCGGUGCUUGAGGACUGGAGAGGAGACUGGAAUUCAUGGUGUAGCAGUGAAAUGCGUAGAGAUCAUGAGGAAGACCAGUGGCGAAGGCGGGUCUCUGGACAGUUCCUGACACUGAGACACGAAG
rnacentral:rRNA from 1 species